AUUGAACGCUGGCGGCAGGCCUAACACAUGCAAGUCGAGCGAGCGGCGGACGGGUGAGGAAUGUAUGGGGACUGCCCGAUAGAGGGGGAUAACUACUGGAAACGGUGGCUAAUACCGCAUACUAUCGGAUAACCCAUAUGGGAUUUGCUAGUAGGUGGGGUAAAGGCUCACCUAGGCGACGAUCUCUAGCUGGUCUGAGAGGAUGAUCAGCCAAACUGGGACUGAGCAACGGCCCGAACUCCCGAGGAGGAAGCAGUGUGGAAUAUUGCACAAUGAGGGUAAGCCUAAUGCAGCCAUGCCGCGUGUAUGAAGAAGGCCUUAGGGUUGUAAAGUACUUUCAGCGGGGAGGCGUUACCCGCAGAAGAAGCACCGGCUAACUCCGUGCCAGCAGCCGCGGUAAUUC
rnacentral:rRNA from 1 species